GUGUUGGUACUCCUGCCCAGCCACAGCUACACGCAAUGGGGGCAGCUCGGAGAGAUCCUCGGAGGGGUGAAAGUCCCGUGA
rfam:Firmicutes bacterium CAG:110 genomic scaffold, scf190